rnacentral:lncRNA from 1 species
CAGGGGAUCCCCAAGGUGAAACACUGGGUCUUAUGAAACCUUUAUCAAGUAGCUCCUGCAAUUGUGCUUUUAACUCCUUCAAUUCUGCUGGGGCCAUUCUGUAUGGUGCCAUAGAAAUAGGAGCUGUACCUGGAUUUAAAUCAAUAGAGAAUUCAAUCUCUCUAUCUGGAGGCAACCCAGGAAGCUCUUCAGGAAAUACAUCAGG